rnacentral:rRNA from 1 species
UACAGGGGGGGCAAGCGUUGUUCGGAAUUACUGGGCGUAAAGGGUUCGUAGGUGGCCACUUAAGUCAGACGUGAAAUCCCUCAGCUUAACUGGGGAACUGCGUCUGAUACUGGGUGGCUUGAGUGCAGGAGAGGAAUGCGGAAUUCCAGGUGUAGCGGUGAAAUGCGUAGAUAUCUGGAGGAACACCGGUGGCGAAGGCGGCAUUCUGGACUGUAACUGACACUGAUGAACGAAAGCCAGGGGAGCAAACGGGG